AAAUCGUACCCCAAACCGACACAGGUGGUCAGGUAGAGAAUACCAAGGCGCUUGAGAGAACUCGGGUGAAGGAACUAGGCAAAAUGGUGCCGUAACUUCGGGAGAAGGCACGCUGAUAUGUAGGUGAAGUUGCUCGUGGAGCUGAAAUCAGUCGAAGAUACCAGCUGGCUGCAACUGUUUAUUAAAAACACAGCACUGUGCAAACACGAAAGUGGACGUAUACGGUGUGACGCCUGCCCGGUGCCGGAAGGUUAAU
rnacentral:rRNA from 1 species